rnacentral:rRNA from 1 species
CUUAAAGAUUAAGCCAUGCACGUCUUAGAUUAAACUCGUAUGAGUGAAACUGCGAACGGCUCCAUAAAUCUGUUCUAAUCUACCGGACGAUUCUCACUACAUGGAUAACCGUAGUAAUUCUAGAGCUAAUACAUGCGUCAAGACCCGCAAGGUCGCCGUGAUUAGAUUUAACCUUCACCAAAGGUGAUUCAUAGUCACACUAGCGGAGGCGCAAGCCGCGUGCCGUCGAGGUUCAGCCCUAUUACUUUGUCGCGAGGAUAUGGUCCUCGUGAGAGUUGAUGGGUAACGGGGAAUGUGGGUUCGAUUCCGGAGAGGGAGCCUGAGAAACGGCUACCACAUCCAAGGAAGGCAGCAGGCGCGUAAAUUGUCCAUUGCUAAAGCAGCGAGACAGUGACGAGAAAUAACAGUACGAUAGCCAAUGGUUAUCAUCUGGAAUGAGUACAAUUUAAAAGCAUUAACGAGUAUCAAUUGGAGGGCAAGUCUGGUGCCAGCAGCCGCGGUAAUUCCAGCUCCAAUAGCGUAUAUAAACGUUGUUGCAGUUAAAAAGCUCGUAGUUGAACUUCUGAGCCACGUGCAUGGGCGCCACACAUGUGCCCCUCACUGUGGCUCAUCUUCGUUGUUGAACCUUGGCGGCGCAAGUCACCUUGGGGAUCGGCGUCAUUUACUGUGAAAAAAUUAGAGUGUUCAAGGCAGGCGUUACCGGUAUCCACUAGCAUGGAAUAAUAAGAUAGGACCUCGUGCUAUUUUGUUGGUUGCGGUUCGAGGUAAUGAUUAAUAGGGACAGUUGGGGGUAUUCGUAUUUAGCUGUCAGAGGUGAAAUUCUUAGAUUUGUUAAAGACGAACGACUGCGAAAGCAUCUACCAAGGAUGUUUUCAUUAAUCAAGAACGAAAGUCAGGGGAUCGAAGAGGAUUAGAUACCCUCGUAGUCCUGUACCAUAAACGAUACCGACCCGCGAUUGUCAGGUGUAUUCAAGACCCUGGCAGCAGCGAAGAAGAAAUUCCGAGUCUUUGGGUUCCGGGGGGAGUAUGGUUGCAAAGCUGAAACUUAAAGGAAUUGACGGAAGGGCACCCAAGAAGUGGGCGUGCGGCUUAAUUCGACUCAACACGAGAAAACUUACCAGGUCCGGACAAAACAAGGAUUGACAGUUUGAGAGUACUUUCUUGAUUUUUUGGUUGGUGGUGCAUGGCCGUUCUUAGUUGGUGGAGUGAUUUGUCUGGUUGAUUCCGAUAACGAACGAGACCUUCGCCUGCUAAUUAGUUCUCUCCCUACCGGGGUAUUGAGGACUUCUUAGAGGGACUCGUUGUGCUAGCAACGGGAAGUUGAAGGCAAUAACAGGUCUGUGAUGCCCUUAGAUGUUCUGGGCCGCACGCGCGCUACACUGAUCGUUCCAACAAGCGUAUUUUCUUCCCCGAAAGGGUUAGAUAAUCUUUGAACGGCGAUCGUGAUGGGGAUUGGCUCUUGCAAUUUUUAGCCAUGAACGAGGAAUUUCUAGUAAACGCGAUUCAUCAAAUCGCAUUGAUUACGUCCCUGCCCUUUGUACACACCGCCCGUCGCACCGACCGAUUGAUGCAUUCGGUGAAAUCAAUAGAUUGACGCGUAGCUUCACGGCUCGCGUUGAGAAACUGAGUGAACCAUAUGCAUUAGAGGAUGGUGAAGUCGUAACAAGGUUUCCGUAGGUGAACCUGCAGAAGGAUCAAAGGGCGAAUU